AAUAAUAUUAGGUAUAAAUGUGAAAGUGUGGAUGUUUGGAUGUUUGUUACUCAAUCACGCAAAAACGGCUCAACGGAUUCGGAUGAAAUUAGGGAUGGAGAUAGAUCAUUGUUUAUACCGGCUACUUUUUAUCCCGGAAAAUCAAAGAGUUCCCACGGGAAUUUUAAAAAACCUACAUCCACGCGAACUAAG